UAACAAUUCUUUAUAUUACGAAUUGAUUAAACUAACUAUUUAUAUAAUUUUACUACUUUGUAGUUAAUCAGACUGCAAUAAACAGGAGAGGAAUGGAUCAUAUUCUCAUCGAAACCUUCCUGUCUGUACUUGAAUGGUCUGCCGAUCUCCAAUAAUAAUUGAAACAGGAUGGAGGAGAUCCAAUAGGAAAAAUUAAAAUUUGAAAAUUUCACCGAAUGAGUGCAUAUCAAACCCUGUCAACCCGUAAUCAAAUUGUGGAAAAUCGGGAAAAUUCGAUUGAACAAAGAGGAUAUACACGAAAAGACUACAAUAAACAACCGGAAAAUGGAUCAUAUUCUCAUCGAAGCCCUCUUGUCUGUAUCUGGAUAGAGUCUAUUGAUCGAAAAUAUUGAUUGAGAUAGGAUAGAGGAAGUAAAAUCACGAGAAAUAAAGUUUAAAGAUUCCGCCAACUGACAUAAAGAACAGAACUUUCGCGAUUCCUUGAAAGGGUACUUUGGAAGAAAAAGACGCUGAAGACACUCACAUGAAUCUGCCCAACUUUA